rnacentral:snRNA from 1 species
AUACUCUCCUGGCAGGUGAGAUACCAUGAUCACUAAGGUGGUUGUCCCAGGCAGAGGCUCAUCCAUUGCACUCCGGGUGUGGUUCUGGUGUGCUGACUCUUGCAAUUUCCCCAAAUGCACGAAACUCAACUGCAUAAUUUGUGGUAGUGGGGGACUAUGUGGUGUAGCGGGUCCACA